rnacentral:rRNA from 1 species
AUGGCUUCCGAGCAGACGGUGCACAUGAACGGAGGACAAGGGGACACAAGCUAUGCCCGCAACUCCAGCCUGCAGAACGCUGAGCAGAACAGGAUGAGGCCCCUCAUAGAAGAGGCCAUCGCCGAUCUACUCAGUGCCAGCGCCUCCAUGCCCAGAAGCAUGGUGGUCGCGGACCUGGGAUGCUCCUCCGGCCCAAACGCUCUCGCUCUGGUGUCGAUCGCCGUUGACGCCAUCCGCGGUCAGUGCUUUCGUUCCCGGCAGCCGCCGCUGGAAGUCUGCGUCUUCCUCAACGAUCUUCCAGACAACGACUUCAACAUGGUGAUGAAGAGCUUGGUGGCGUUCCAGCAAGGCCACAGGUCGGUCGUCACCGGUGUUAUACCAGGGUCGUUCUACGGGAGGCUCUUCACCACUGGCUCCUUGCAUCUCGCCUGCUCGGCCAACAGCCUGCACUGGCUCUCCGAGGCUCCUGAAGAACUGAGGAGGAACAAGAUCCCGGCAUACGACAUCGAUGAGCACGUGAGGCGAGGAAGACGGCGUGUGGUCAUCGGAGCCUAUGCGCGGCAGUUCAGGAAAGAUUUCAAGCUUUUUCUUGAGCUGAGAGCCAAAGAAUUGGUUGCAGGAGGGCGAUUGGUUGUUUCCCUUGCCGGGAGGCGCUCUGAAGAACCUGCUGCCGAAUUCACUCAUGCCUGGGAAUCAGUCGUCCUUAUAUUAAGUGAGAUGGCCUCAAAGGGUGUGAUUAACAAAAGCAAAGUUUGA